ACAGCUAGGGCCCUUUCCGAAUUGUCACAAUUCAGUAGGCAGUACGUACUUUUCAGUAGGGAGUUUCAGUAUACUGAACUUUUGUGUAUGGAUACUAACUUCCGGGUUUCAUGCAGUAUGGAUCGGAUGCGUGCUUUCAGGAAAUUAAUUGUAUUUUACCACCCACAAUGCUGUGCGAAAUUACGUCACGUGCGCCUCCAAAUCAAAACAAACGAGCGUGGAUUAAUUGAAUCAAUUUUUAAUCCAGAGUUAAAGUCCCGACUGAAAUCACUACUUUAAAUUAACAACAGAAAAUAAAACAAAUGUCUGCAUUAUUAUAAAACCUUUCCCCCUCUAUUUAAAUAAUGAUUUCACUAUUUCAGUGCGUCUUUAUUUGUUUAUUUUCCUUUAUAUUCCGUAUCUUACUGUCUUUCAUUUGUACUUUCCUUUAUGUACUGUAUGUGAUUUAGUUAUUUAAUCUGCCUUUUACUUGAUUUACAUUGUGAUAUUGUUUUUUGUUUACCUGACUGUAUAUGCGCGUUACU